rnacentral:lncRNA from 1 species
CUCUCAGAGAAAGCACACAACAAAGAUGACCGACGAAGACAAACCCAAAGCCUUCUCCGGCGGCCAUCACAACCACCCUCCGCCGCAGCCACAACCCUUCCCCGCCGCCCAGUAUGGCACCUUCCAAGGCGUCGCCAACUACCCUCCGCCGCAGCCGCACCCCGCCAUCGGCUUCCCUCACCCGGUUCCGCCGCCCGGCGCCGUCGACUCCUCCGCCCCUCCUCCGCCCUACUACCCGGGCUACCA